rnacentral:snRNA from 1 species
GGAUGUGAGGGCAAUCUGACUGCAACAUCUAUCACCCCUCUGAUUGCUAGGGUUGAUUCAGCUGAUCUGGCUGGUUAGAGGCAGGUGUCCCCUUCCUCCCUUACUGCUCCAUGCGCUUCUCUACUGAAGCUGCAUGCUCGGUGAAAGAGGACGACCUUACCCGAACAGAUAUGGACUGGGUCUUUGGUCAAGGGUAGACAGGAAACUGUGCUCCCCUGCUAGAACCUCCAAACAUGCUCUCAAGAAUGUCAUUAUAGACCACAGAAUGCCAGCUCAGAUCUACAGGGGUGCAUAGGUAAUAUAGGACUCUGU